rnacentral:lncRNA from 1 species
CCCGAGCCCGCGCUGCGCGACCACGGGGCGGGGGUCCUGAGACCCGCCCGCCUGCUCCCCUCCUGCCCGGCAGAGAAAAGCCCUUUGCUGGGGGGUUCGGGGCUGGAGGACCUGAGACCCGCCCUCGGCCCCAUCCCACCGUCCUCGGAUCAGAGUCUCCGGCCCCCAGUCCGGACGGGGCUCAGUGUCAGGUCAGGGCGGGCCCACCCCGCGGCCGCCCCGCCCCACCGCCCCAGCCCUGACUGCCGGCCGGGGUCGUCCCGCCCCUCAGACCCCGCCCGUACAAGGACUGGGGUGGGAGAGGGACCCCCACGCGGAGCUGGGACACCAGGACACAGCCCGCGGGCGAGGAUGGGGACUCGGGGGGACCCCGGGAGACGCGAGCCCACGACCGCUUCCAGCUGGUUCCCGCCGGGUCGAACCAGCCGCUCCGGGUCCCGGCCCGGCCCGCGCACUCACCAUCUCCGCCCGCUCCGGACUCUCCGCGCGUCCUCCCCGCGGCCCCGGCAGGUGACAGCGACGGGACGGGACACCUGGGGCCGCGCGAGGCAGGUGCGCGCGGGGACACCAAGGGCUGAGACGGACUCCCACGCGGUUGCGAGCGCGCCCCUCCCCGGCUUUGAUUGGACGGUGCUCCAGCGUCCUUCCACAUGAUUGGACCGUAUUUCACGCGCUCAUUCUGGCCUGCAGUCUGAUUGGACACUGCCCUAUGAUGUCACCGUGCCCUCAUUGGACAGUUCCCCAAGACCCUCCUCUGUGCCUUCAUUGAGCGAUCCCGGUCCCGCCCCAGCACCGCUGCCUCGCUCCCUGCGUCGUCGUCCCUGAUUGGACAGCGUUCCCGUCGCUGGCGUGUGAUGGGCGGGGCGGAGGUCACGUGGCUGAAGGAGGCGGUGAUCUGCCUCCUCAGGGACGCGGACCGCCCGCCCGAGUGGCGCUGUCGGAGCACAGGCUCCUGGCGGGGACCUCCUGCCUCUGCCCGAGGCUCCCCAGCCCCUCCUCGCCUUCCUCCGGAACGGGCAGUCCUGACUCAGUUUCCCUGGAGCGCCCCUCCUCAGGACUCGGACCGGUGGGACAGGGGGCGCGGUCACCUGGGUGCUCGGCCCAGGGCGGGACUCCCGACUUGCCUCAUCUGAUGACAACUGGUGAAAUUCUUUCUGCUUAAUGUAAGGAAGCCACAGUCCUGCAGGGAGUGUCAGGCCAGCUUCCAGGUGUCUGAGGCUGCCUUUGCCAUUCUCAUUGACUACAUAAUAAACACUGACAUCCAUAUUUCUAUGUAUG